AGUUUUCGCUUUGGCUCAGAAGCAAUAUCAUCACUGGCACGUAAAGCGGCACAAAAAGACGCAGGACGAAGGAGCUGCCGAGGGUCCUUCUUUUCAUUGUCAUAGACGACAUGUUUCGGCUGUGCGGAGUGCUACGGCAAAGUUGGUUCCACUUCAGGAAUUUAUUUACUCAAGUGUGAUGCGAUUAUCCUGAUGCACUUCUUCUUUGUCUCAAUGCGCUAGUUACGCCCGCUGGGCACCGCCCAAAAACAAAAAAAAAAAAAACAAACAAAACCGAAACAGAAUGGAAUAUUUUCGUGAGACUCUAGAUGGCGUGUGCAGCAAUAGCAAUUGAGAUGCCAGCAAAGUUUGGUAACCCUUUCUUCGUUUCGGCCUCUUAAUUAAAUGCCAGCCCGAUAGUCAUCUUCUGGCAACUGAACUUGAUUAAAGUCCAGGGGCUCUCCCUUACCAGUGCCCACCCAACUGAAACUGAAUCAAAAGGAUGACUAGUUACGACCACAAGUGUCCAGAACAGAAGGUCUUCGAGUCUUCGGUAAUCUUUCAAGUACCUUUUUUAACUUUUUUAACUUGAGCUAAAGUUGUUUUAAAAUAUAAAAUAAAUUAACGUUUCUGUAAGCUG
rnacentral:lncRNA from 1 species